rnacentral:rRNA from 1 species
CGCGGCCUAUCAGCUUGUUGGUGGGGUGAUGGCCUACCAAGGCGACGACGGGUAGCCGGCCUGAGAGGGUGUCCGGCCACACUGGGACUGAGAUACGGCCCAGACUCCUACGGGAGGCAGCAGUGGGGAAUCUUGCGCAAUGGCCGCAAGGCUGACGCAGCGACGCCGCGUGGGGGAGGAAGGGCUUCGGCUUGUAAACCCCUGUUGCCCGGGACGAACGAGCGGUUUUGGCCGCAGUGACGGUACCGGGUGAGGAAGCACCGGCUAACUCCGUGCCAGCAGCCGCGGUAAUACGGAGGGUGCGAGCGUUGUCCGGAAUCACUGGGCGUAAAGGGCGCGUAGGCGGCACGGUAAGCGUGCGGUGAAAGCCCGGGGCUCAACCCCGGGUCGGCCGUGCGAACUGCCGAGCUGGAGCACUGUAGAGGCGGGUGGAAUUCCGGGUGUAGCGGUGGAAUGCGUAGAGAUCCGGAAGAACACCGGUGGCGAAGGCGGCCCGCUGGGCAGUGGCUGACGCUGAGGCGCGACAGCGUGGGGAGCAAACAGGAUUAGAUACCCUGGUAGUCCACGCCGUAAACGAUGGGCACUAGGUGCCUGGGGGAGCGACCCCCUGGGUGCCGUCGCUAACGCAUUAAGUGCCCCGCCUGGGGAGUACG